GGGUCAGUAGGUUGGUCGUGCCACCGGUACGUACUGGUCUCACUGAUUCCUCCUUCCUGGAGAACUGUAAUGCCAUUAAUUUGGUGUUGCGGGGAAACAGGACUGUUACUUUGAAAAAAUUAGAGUGUUUAAAGCAAGCUAACACUUGAAUACAUUAGCAUGGAAUAAUGAAAUAGGACGAUCGAUCCUAUUUUGUUGGUUUCUAGGAUUGACGUA
rnacentral:rRNA from 1 species